UGGGGAAUAUUGCACAAUGGGGGAAACCCUGAUGCAGCGACGCCGCGUGAACGAAGAAGGUAUUCGUAUCGUAAAGUUCUGUCCUAUGGGAAGAUAAUGACAGUACCAUAGAAGAAAGCUCCGGCUAAAUACGUGCCAGCAGCCGCGGUAAUACGUAUGGAGCGAGCGUUGUCCGGAAUUAUUGGGCGUAAAGGGUACGCAGGCGGUUUAAUAAGUCGAAUGUUAAAGAUCGGGGCUCAACCCCGUAAAGCAUUGGAAACUGAUAAACUUGAGUAGUGGAGAGGAAUGUGGAAUUCCUAGUGUAGUGGUGAAAUACGUAGAUAUUAGGAGGAAUACCAGUAGCGAAGGCGACUUUCUGGACACAAACUGACGCUGAGGUACGAAAGCGUGGGGAGCAAACAGG
rnacentral:rRNA from 1 species